UACAGAGGUCUCAAGCGUUGUUCGGAAUUAUUGGGCGUAAAGCGCAUGUAGGCGGUCUGUUAAGUCGCGUGUGAAAGCUCCAGGCUCAACCUGGAAAGUGCGCGCGAAACUGGCGGACUUGAGUGCCGGAGAGGGUGGCGGAAUUCCCGGUGUAGAGGUGAAAUUCGUAGAUAUCGGGAGGAACACCAGAGGCGAAGGCGGCCACCUGGACGGACACUGACGCUGAGACGCGAAAGCGUGGGGAGCAAACAGGAUUAGAAAACC
rnacentral:rRNA from 1 species